UACGUAGGGUGCGAGCGUUAAUCGGAAUUACUGGGCGUAAAGCGUGCGCAGGCGGUUCGCCAAGUCAGGUGUGAAAUCCCCGGGCUUAACCUGGGAAUUGCGCUUGAAACUAGCGGGCUUGAGUGUGGCAGAGGGGGGUGGGAAUUCCACGUGUAGCAGUGAAAUGCGUAGAGAUGUGGAGGAACACCGAUGGCGAAGGCAGCCCCCUGGGUCAAGAUUGACGCUCAUGCACGAAAGCGUGGGGAGCAAACAGG
rnacentral:rRNA from 1 species